GACGAACGCUGGCGGCGUGCUUAACACAUGCAAGUCGAACGGAAAGGCCCAGCUUGCUGGGUGCUCGAGUGGCGAACGGGUGAGUAACACGUGGGUGAUCUGCCUCUAACUUCGGGAUAAGCUUGGGAAACUGGGUCUAAUACCGGAUAGGACAAUCGUUUAGUGUCGGUUGUGGAAAGUUUUUUCGGUUAGGGAUGAGCCCGCGGCCUAUCAGCUUGUUGGUGGGGUAAUGGCCUACCAAGGCGUCGACGGGUAGCCGGCCUGAGAGGGUGGACGGCCACAUUGGGACUGAGAUACGGCCCAGACUCCUACGGGAGGCAGCAGUGGGGAAUAUUGCACAAUGGGCGCAAGCCUGAUGCAGCGACGCCGCGUGGGGGAUGACGGCCUUCGGGUUGUAAACCUCCUUCGACAGGGACGAAGCUUUGGUGACGGUACCUGUAUAAGAAGCACCGGCUAACUACGUG
rnacentral:rRNA from 1 species